AUUGAACGCUGGCGGCAUGCCUUACACAUGCAAGUCGAACGGUAACGGGCCUUCGGGUGCCGACGAGUGGCGAACGGGUGAGUAAUACAUCGGAACGUGCCCGAUCGUGGGGGAUAACGAGGCGAAAGCUUUGCUAAUACCGCAUACGAUCUACGGAUGAAAGCAGGGGACCGCAAGGCCUUGCGCGGACGGAGCGGCCGAUGGCAGAUUAGGUAGUUGGUGGGAUAAAAGCUUACCAAGCCGACGAUCUGUAGCUGGUCUGAGAGGAUGAUCAGCCACACUGGGACUGAGACACGGCCCAGACUCCUACGGGAGGCAGCAGUGGGGAAUUUUGGACAAUGGGCGCAAGCCUGAUCCAGCCUUGCCGCGUGCAGGAUGAAGGCCUUCGGGUUGUAAACUGCUUUUGUACGGAACGAAAAGCCUUCUUUUAAUACAGGAGGGUCAUGACGGUACCGUAAGAAUAAGCACCGGCUAACUACGUG
rnacentral:rRNA from 1 species